UACGGGGGGGGCAAGCGUUGUUCGGAAUUACUGGGCGUAAAGGGCUCGUAGGCGGCCAACUAAGUCGGAUGUGAAAUCCCCAGGCUUAACCUGGGAACUGCAUCCGAUACUGGAUGGCUUGAAUCCGGGAGAGGGAUGCAGAAUUCCAGGUGUAGCGGUGAAAUGCGCAGAUAUCUGGAGGAAUACCGGUGGCGAAGGCGGCAUCCUGGACCGGCAUUGACGCUGAGGAGCGAAAGCUAGGGGAGCAAACGGG
rnacentral:rRNA from 1 species